rnacentral:rRNA from 1 species
UCAAAGGAGACUGCCAGUGAUAAACUGGAGGAAGGUGGGGAGUGACGUCAAGUCAUCACUGGCCCUUACGACCAGGGCUACACACGUGCUACAAUGGCGCAUACAAAGAGAAGCGACCUCGCGAGAGCAAGCGGACCUCAUAAAGUGCGUCGUAGUCCGGAUUGGAGUCUGCAACUCGACUCCAUGAAGUCGGAAUCGCUAGUAAUCGUGGAUCAGAAUGCCACGGUGAAUACGUUCCCGGGCCUUGUACACACCGCCCGUCACACCAUGGGAGUGGGUUGCAAAAGAAGUAGGUAGCUUAACCUUCGGGAGGGCGCUUACCACUUUGUGAUUCAUGACUGGGGUGAAGUCGUAACAAGGUAACCGUAGGGGAACCUGCGGUUGGAUCACCUCCUUACCUGAAAGAAGC